rnacentral:rRNA from 1 species
GACGAACGCUGGCGGCGUGCUUAACACAUGCAAGUCGAACGGAAAGGCCCUGCUUUUGUGGGGUGCUCGAGUGGCGAACGGGUGAGUAACACGUGAGUAACCUGCCCUUGACUUUGGGAUAACUUCAGGAAACUGGGGCUAAUACCGGAUAGGAGCUCCUGCUGCAUGGUGGGGGUUGGAAAGUUUCGGCGGUUGGGGAUGGACUCGCGGCUUAUCAGCUUGUUGGUGGGGUAGUGGCUUACCAAGGCUUUGACGGGUAGCCGGCCUGAGAGGGUGACCGGCCACAUUGGGACUGAGAUACGGCCCAGACUCCCACGGGAGGCAGCAGUGGGGAAUAUUGCACAAUGGGCGGAAGCCUGAUGCAGCAACGCCGCGUGCGGGAUGACGGCCUUCGGGUUGUAAACCGCUUUCGCCUGUGACGAAGCGUGAGUGACGGUAAUGGGUAAAGAAGCACCGGCUAACUACGUGCCAGCAGCCGCGGUGAUACGUAGGGUGCGAGCGUUGUCCGGAUUUAUUGGGCGUAAAGGGCUCGUAGGUGGUUGAUCGCGUCGGAAGUGUAAUCUUGGGGCUUAACCCUGAGCGUGCUUUCGAUACGGGUUGACUUGAGGAAGGUAGGGGAGAAUGGAAUUCCUGGUGGAGCGGUGGAAUGCGCAGAUAUCAGGAGGAACACCAGUGGCGAAGGCGGUUCUCUGGGCCUUUCCUGACGCUGAGGAGCGAAAGCGUGGGGAGCGAACAGGCUUAGAUACCCUGGUAGUCCACGCUGUAAACGGUGGGUACUAGGUGUGGGGUCCAUUCCACGGGUUCCGUGCCGUAGCUAACGCUUUAAGUACCCCGCCUGGGGAGUACGGCCGCAAGGCUAAAACUCAAAGGAAUUGACGGGGCCCCGCACAAGCGGCGGAGCAUGCGGAUUAAUUCGAUGCAACGCGUAGAACCUUACCUGGGUUUGACAUGGAUCGGGAGUGCUCAGAGAUGGGUGUGCCUCUUUUGGGGUCGGUUCACAGGUGGUGCAUGGCUGUCGUCAGCUCGUGUCGUGAGAUGUUGGGUUAAGUCCCGCAACGAGCGCAACCCUUGUUCACUGUUGCCAGCACGUUAUGGUGGGGACUCAGUGGAGACCGCCGGGGUCAACUCGGAGGAAGGUGGGGAUGACGUCAAGUCAUCAUGCCCCUUAUGUCCAGGGCUUCACGCAUGCUACAAUGGCUGGUACAGAGAGUGGCGAGCCUGUGAGGGUGAGCGAAUCUCGGAAAGCCGGUCUCAGUUCGGAUUGGGGUCUGCAACUCGACCUCAUGAAGUCGGAGUCGCUAGUAAUCGCAGAUCAGCAACGCUGCGGUGAAUACGUUCCCGGG